CGAAGCAACGACGAAGAACCUUACCAGGCCUUGACAUGCAGAGAACUUUCCAGAGAUGGAUUGGUGCCUUCGGGAACUCUGACACAGGUGCUGCAUGGCUGUCGUCAGCUCGUGUCGUGAGAUGUUGGGUUAAGUCCCGUAACGAGCGCAACCCUUGUCCUUAGUUACCAUCAUUAAGUUGGGGACUCUAGCGAGACUGCCAGUGAUAAACUGGAGGAAGGUGGGGAUGACGUCAAAUCAUCAUGCCCCUUAUGACCUGGGCUACAAACGUGAUACAAUGGCUGGAACAAAGGGAUGCGAAGCAGUGAUGUGGAGCGAAACCCAUAAAAACAGUCUCAGUUCGGAUUGAAGUCUGCAACUCGACUUCAUGAAGUCGGAAUCGCUAGUAAUCGCGGAUCAGAACGCCGCGGUGAAUACGUUCUCGGGGUUU
rnacentral:rRNA from 1 species